rnacentral:misc_RNA from 1 species
AAGCAAGUUGAAUAUCUCAGUCACAUCUAUCAGAUGCUGUCUUCGUGUGUAAAGCCUCAAAUUGUAGUGAAGGUAUGGAACACACAAUAGUGACAUACACCAGUGCCCUGUUAGGAGAUAAAAGAUGCAUAAAACUCCUUCAGCUAUAUACUCUGGCAAUAUCACUUUGUUUAUCCGAGAUGAGGAGUCAUAAGGAUUGAUAUAAUCAAACUCCAGAUCUGCCAAGCACAUAAGCUGGAAUACGAUGAUGACGAGUAGGGCUACAAGGAAGAAGAAGGAUAAGAGCCAGACAUACAGAUCCCCCAUGCUCCUUGCCCUAUUCUAUCUCCCUCUCCGUUUCACUCUCUCUCUUCUGUCUCUAAUUUCUCCUCCAAUAUUGCUGGUUUGACAGAACGGAGCAUGAGAGCAACUCUCUACCGCCUAGUGCGUAAAGUGCAAUCGCCUCAGUUUUACCUGAUGACUUUUCUU